GAUGAACGCUGGCGGCGUGCUUAACACAUGCAAGUCGAACGGUGAAGGUGGGAGCUUGCUCCUGCUGGAUCAGUGGCGAACGGGUGAGUAACACGUGAGUAACCUGCCCCGGACUCUGGGAUAAGCGUUGGAAACGACGUCUAAUACCGGAUACGAGACGAGAAGGCAUCUUCAUCGUCUGGAAAGAUUUUUUGGUCUGGGAUGGACUCGCGGCCUAUCAGGUUGUUGGUGAGGUAAUGGCUCACCAAGCCUACGACGGGUAGCCGGCCUGAGAGGGUGAGCGGCCACACUGGGACUGAGACACUGCCCAGACUCCUACGGGAGGCAGCAGUGGGGAAUAUUGCACAAUGGGCGAAAGCCUGAUGCAGCAACGCCGCGUGAGGGACGACGGCCUUCGGGUUGUAAACCUCUUUUAGUAGGGAAGAAGCGAAAGUGACGGUACCUGCAGAAAAAGCACCGGCUAACUACGUGCCAGCCGCCGCCGUAA
rnacentral:rRNA from 1 species